rnacentral:lncRNA from 1 species
AAUCCAGCUGUCCCCAGGCCCUGCCGCAUCCACCUUCAACCCUUCCCACCUGUGUGUCCUUCUUGGUGUGCAUGGCCCACACCCAGGAAUUGUCAAUUGACAAUGUGUCUAAUUCACCUCUCAGUUUAGGCCUCUGUCAUUUCUGGCUUGGACUAAAGUAGCUGCCUCCUAAAAGCUUUCCUUGCCUUUGAUGAUCCAACCUUAACAUUGUCAAGGGCAAACAAACAAAUUAAUACAUUUUGAGGUCAAAAUAUAUUUUGGACCUGGAAAACUUUAGAAAUCACAGCAGUGCAGGCCGAGUAGAUCCAAGUCUCUGAAGUGGAAGCAGGCGCGGGGUUUUGAAAGCUCCCUCAGAGAUCCCUGUGUGCGGCAAGGCUGAGGACCUGUGCUUGGAGCUGUCAGCACAGCCUGCCUGCUGCCCCAGCCCCCAGGACCUCAUGUACUUAGUUGCUGCUGACAAAAAAAGCAAAAAAACAAAACAAAACUAAACAAAACAAAAAAACCCAACCAAACAAACAAACCAGGCUUAUGCCCGUUGUCUCAACUAUUCAGGAGGCUGAGGUAGGAGCAUGGUUUGAGCCCAAGAGUUGGAGGCUUCAGUGAGCUGUGAUCAUGCCAUUGCACUUCAGCCUGGGCUACACAGCAAGACCUUGUCUCUAAGAUGAUGAUGAUAAUAAUAAUAAUAAUAAUAAUAAUAAUAAUAAUAAUAAUAAUAAAACAAAUUAACAAAACACCAAACAGAUCCUGACAUUCUACUUAAAAAAAAAAAAUCCCCCAUGCUCUCCAUGACCCCAAGGAUAAGGGGGGACCCAGCUCAGCCUGUCUCCCCUGCACACACACCCAGAGCCCCCACAGCUCGUGUCAUCAGCAUGGUCCACCUCUGUGCCAUCACCUGUGCUGUUGACUCUGUGCACAGGCCUCCAGGUCCCCCUUGAAUGCCACCUCCUCUGGGAGUCCCUCCCCAAGUCUCCAGGGCAGAGUUAAUCCAUCUUUCCUCUGUUCUCCCACACACCUUAUUCAAAUGCCCGAGAGCCCUGUUUCACCCUGGCCUUUCCCUUCCUGGCUGCAAAGUCCUUGCCUGGUGCAUGGAAAGGAUGAAGGGCGGAGCUUGAGUGAGGGACUGGAGGACCAGAUGGAGAAUGCCAAGCCCCCUUUGAACUUGAGAUCUCAUUUCUACAGACCAGUCAACUCUGCCCAAGGCAGUGCUAAUGAACUCUGGCCACACCCCAGAACUACCUGGAAAACUUUAAAAAUCAGAGCAGCGCAGGCCAAGUAGAUCCAAGUCUCUGAGGUGGGACCAGGCUCAGGGUUUUGAAAGCUCCCCCAGAGCUCCCAGUGUGCAGCAAGGCUCCUCAUGUACGUAGCUGCUGCUGACAUGUUUAAUUUCAUUGAUUGAUUUACAUUUAUUUCAAUAGCUUUUGGGGUACAGGUGGGUUUUGGUUACAUGGAUGAAUUGUACAGUGGUGAAGUCUGAGAUUUUAGUGCAGCUAUCACCCAAAUAGUGUACAUCAUACCCAAUAUGUAGUUUUUUAUCCCUCCCCUCCAUCUCCUCCUUCUUCUGAGUCUCCAAUGUUCAUUAUGUCACUGUAUGCCCCUGUGUACCCAUCGCUUAGCUCCCACUUACAAGUGAGAAUAUGCGGCAUUUGGUUUUCCAUUCCUGAGUUACUUCACUUAGAAUAAUGGCCUCCAGCUCCAUCUAAGUUGCUGCAAAAGACAUUACUUCAUUCAUUUUUAUGGCUGAGUAGUAUUCCAUGGUGUAUAUACACCACAUUUUCCUUAUCCACCAUUGGCCAUUGAGCACUUAGGUGGGUCCCAUAACUUUACAAUGGUGAAUUGUGCUGUGGGUGCUUUUGACCAGGGAUCGAUGGUGAACAUGCACUGCACGUUUGUGUGCAUUUGUGUCUUUAAGUGUGAAGGAGUGGUGUGGGACGAGGAAUGGGGACCACACCUGCAGUUAGGAAACCUGCAUUCUAGACCUGGCUGUGUGAACAAGGGCAGGAAAGAUGAACUCCUCUUGCAGGAAAUCUGUGUUAGAUCCAAGAAGGCAGGAGGACACGUAGGGGACUGUGCUAUUGGAAAGGAGCUCUGAUUUUGUCUGUUUGGCAUGUCUUCCUUGAGGGGGCCUGAGCCCACUCUCCAUAGUGUGUAUGUUCCCAUUGGCUUCGGGUGGGGCUUUCUUUGUUCUAGUGAACAAAGUUCGAGUGAACCCAGGGUGGGCCUGUGACCUAGACUUGGACAAGAAUGGGCACACCACCUAAAGAGCUUAACUUAACUUUGGGCAGAAAAAGAGGGUAAACAAGGAACAAAAGGUUGUUGUAAGAAAUUGAGGGCUACCUCCAAGUUUGGGGCCUAAUAAAAAACUGUCCCUGUUCGAAGGGGAGGACUCGGCCCCAUGUGGUUGAAGUGGAGAACAGCUGGGACCUCCCAGGGCCUGGGGCCUUCUAGG